rnacentral:rRNA from 1 species
UGGGGAAUAUUGCACAAUGGAGGGAACUCUGAUGCAGCGACGCCGCGUGAACGAAGAAGGCUUUCGAGUCGUAAAGUUCUUUUAUAUGGGAAGAUAAUGACGGUACCAUAAGAAAAAGCCCCGGCUAAAUACGUGCCAGCAGCCGCGGUAAUACGUAUGGGGCGAGCGUUGUCCGGAAUUAUUGGGCGUAAAGGGUACGUAGGCGGUCUAUUAAGUCAGGUGUGAAAGCGUGAGGCUUAACCUCAUUAAGCACUUGAAACUGAUAGACUUGAGUGAAGUAGAGGAAAGAGGAAUUCCUAGUGUAGCGGUGAAAUGCGUAGAUAUUAGGAGGAAUACCGGUGGCGAAGGCGACUUUCUGGACUUUCACUGACGCUCAGGUACGAAAGCGUGGGGAGCAAACAGG